AGUGAACGCUGGCGGUAGGCCUAACACAUGCAAGUCGAACGGCAGCACAGAGAAGCUUGCUCCUUGGGUGGCGAGUGGCGGACGGGUGAGGAAUACAUCGGAAUCUACUCUGUCGUGGGGGAUAACGUAGGGAAACUUACGCUAAUACCGCAUACGACCUACGGGUGAAAGCAGGGGAUCUUCGGACCUUGCGCGAUUGAAUGAGCCGAUGUCGGAUUAGCUAGUUGGCGGGGUAAAGGCCCACCAAGGCGACGAUCCGUAGCUGGUCUGAGGGGAUGAACAGCCACACUGGAACUGAGACACGGGCCAGACCCGUACGGGAGGCAGCAGUGGGGAAUAUUGGACAAUGGGCGCAAGCCUGAUCCAGCCAUACCGCGUGGGUGAAGAAGGCCUUCGGGUUGUAAAGCCCUUUUGUUGGGAAAGAAAUCCAUCUGGUUAAUACCCGGGUGGGAUGACGGUACCCAAAGAAUAAGCACCGGCUAACUUCGUGCCAGCCGCCGCGGUAA
rnacentral:rRNA from 1 species